rnacentral:sRNA from 1 species
GCCGCGUCAAAUCACGCAGCCGGGCUUGGCAGCCCGAUCACUCAGGCGCACCAGCGCCCAUCUUCGAUGCCCGGCGCUUUUUU